GGACAAGUCAGGGGGUAGGUGGUAAUGGGGGGGCAGAGCAGAGGGGCUGGACAGCCAAAGCUGUAGGUGGGACAUGGAGCAGUGUAAGGCAACCAAGGGUUAAGACUCAUACAGGUGGAGGCAGGAGACCCUGUUCAGUACACCCUGCUCAGCAUCCAUUCAUCUUGCUGAGGUUUCAUUUGGGCUCUGCAGUGCCAGGAAGAGACUGUAGUUACCGUCUUGUUUCCCUGCAUUUUCAGACUCUCUCCAGGGUCACCUUAGCCAAGACUUGGUUCCCAGGCACUCACCUGAGACAGGGACCAGCUUGGUGGCCAACCAGGUAGCUGUGAAAUGCCCUGUCCCAGGGACAGCACUGAGGAAGGUGUGCCUGGAUCAGGGCCCCAGCACAGAGCACUGACUAUCCUACGUAUCACAAUGCUGCUUUCUCCUCUCCUAGGGUGUAGCCUCCAGUUCUGAAGGUGAGAGACGUUGGAAGGAUGCCGUGAAAUAAAACCUAAUGAAGUCCACCGAGAUUCAUCAAUAAAGGAAGGAAUCCCUGGAGGAGAUUCAGUGUUACCGGGAGCCGUGGAAGUGAGGGAAGCCAAAAAGUCUCCUGCAGCCUGCUCCCACUUGUGUUGCAGUUCAGUCAUCACCAGGGAUGGUGGCUUCCUCGGGCUGGUGCCUCCAGCAGUGGCAGACUGGCAGCUGUGUGUCUAACACACCCGUCAAAGGCUUCGGCGUCGCCACCUCAGUGUCCACCUUUCCUCUUGUUUUUCCGUAUUCCUGAUCUAAUUGCACCAGCAGAGCAGUCAAAAAUUAACCUCCUUCCACCUGGCCCAAACAGGCUCUUUUUGAAGAGUUUCUGGUGUCUGGCAACAGCUUUGCCCCGCCUUACAUGGGCAAGUGCUAAAAUAAAUAUCAUCCUCUUAAAAUGUA